rnacentral:lncRNA from 1 species
AGAUCUUCACUGGAAACAUUUCUGUGAGGUCCUGGAAUAAAAUAAAAGAAAGAUCUCUUUUCAAAGGUUUAGAAUUUUAUUUUGUUCUCCUUGCCACGCCCCGAACCCAACUGUAAUAACCCGGCCCAUUUGAGCCUUGGACCAAGCCCAAACCAUUAAAGCCCAUAUGAAAAAAAAAAUCUGAAAGAAGACUCCCGUUGGAGUCGUCUUCUUCUUUUCCAUGCC